rnacentral:rRNA from 1 species
CGCCGCCGGGGGGAUCGGUGGGGAGCUAUGUAUGGAUGCGAUCAACGCCGAACGAAUCUAAGUGUGAAACUCGCCUCAAGAUGAGAUUCCCCAUUCCUAUAUGGAAGUAAGACCCCUGAGAGAUGAUCAGGUAGAUAGGCUGGAAGUAGCAGCGCCGUGAGGUGUGGAGCGGACCAGUACUAAUCGGUCGAGGACUUAACCAAG